UACGUAGGGUGCGAGCGUUAAUCGGAAUUACUGGGCGUAAAGUGUGCGCAGGCGGCCGAGCAAGUCGAGUGUGAAAGCCCCGGGCUUAACUUGGGAAUUGCGCUCGAAACUACUUGGCUGGAGUGUGGCAGAGGAAGGUGGAAUUCCACGUGUAGCGGUGAAAUGCGUAGAUAUCUGGAGGAACACCGGUGGCGAAGGCGGCGUUCUGGACUGCAACUGACACUGAGGAACGAAAGCCAGGGGAGCAAACGGG
rnacentral:rRNA from 1 species